CAUUGACAGUUAAUCCUAGGUCUAUCUAUCGCACUGAGUUUGGCAACCAAACUCCAGCCGAGUUUAGUUCCAAAAUUUUUCUUCAAACUUCCAAUUUUUCUAUUACAUCAAAACUUUCUUACACACACAAACUUUCAACUUUUCUGUCACAUCGUUCCAAUUUCAAUCAAACUUUCAAUUUUAGCGUGAACUAAACACACCCUCCCUCCUGAAUUGCAGCGCAGGAAUCGCUGGGUUUGCUUUAUGCCAAAGAGAAGCCUCGUCAGCCAUCCCUUUGGCCACAUCUACCCAAGAUCUGCACUGCUGAUUGAGAGUAGUAGUAUUCUUUAGAGUAGUAGUAUUCACGUAAACUUUGUGACUUAGGCGCAGUCUCCAUGCCUCUGGUGAUCUUUGUAUUCUUUUUCUGCAGCGAACAUAUAGCUUGUUCUUGAAGAUGAACAGCAUCAGGAGGAUUUCUGGGAUGAGCAAAAGUCUAAGGUCCCCUCUGCAAUUUAUAAAGAGAAAUAUGAGAGCAUAGUUUUCUUCAGGGAGCUGUAAAAGCGUGACAAAGAUAAUAUCGAUUAACCUCCUGGAACACAAGUACUCUGUUGAGUUUGAUGCUAUCCAAGGCGUGAUUCAAAGAUGGAUAAACUCACUGCAGUUUUUGUAUUCCUCUCAAUCUGAAUCUGUGAUGGGUGGCCACACCAGCAAAGCCCCAUCAGGGAAGGAGGAUUUCCUCAUAACAGUGGAUGAGAAGCAUGAUUAUGACAGGCUGAAGACGCCUCCAGUUACACCACUGUUUCUUUCCAUAGAGACGGAAACCAACCAACUCCUCUCAAAUGAUUUUCCAGAAGAAGCAACCUAUCCCUCAACCAGUUAAACCUUCAGCUUCCAGGGUAUACUAUCUGCUCUGUAUUAUCCUACAUCUAAAAAAAAAAUCCCAGAUGCAGCUUUUCUCCUCAACUGAAAACCACAUUUCUAGAACCUGUUUCUUUUUUUUUUUUUUUUUGCCGGGUCGGCGAAGGAGCCGACCAAAUUUCAUUAAGAUUGAAAGGGGAAAGUUAUAGAUUUUACACAACAUUAAACUGUCGAG